UUAGAGGCCUUAGAACAGGUCCCGGCAGGAGCAGGGGCGACUCCACUCCAGCCUGUCUCCAAUAGAGUCUCCUUUCACCCCCCGCCCUGUGAUCCAGGUAAAGCAACAGUGCGACUGCCGGCUUUUCUCAUCAGAGGUGAUUUGCUGACAUCAGCACAGCCUUUGAUCUCACGGAGAUGCAAGAGAGGCCACAAGGCUCAGAUCCAUCCUCCUGAUCACCACGCGUCACUGUCUGAUUCCUGCUCUACGUUCUGUAGAGACGUCACCGCCACCUGACUUGUGCUGGUCACGACAGGACCGUGGCCGCUCACCGUGAACUCCAGGCGCCCGUCAACGCUAAUGGAUUCAUCACUAUUACUAAGUCAGGCGCCCGACUUACUACGAGUUGGCACUAGCAGCGACGCCGAGGAAAGGUCACGUGGCCCAGCGGCCAUGCUCACUCUUCCCUGCAGAAAGGGACCUUCUGCCAAAGUCAGCGAGGGAAGCAGCUGAAGCGUCUGACUCACCCCCAGCACAGCCUGUGGCAACCGCGCCUUUCUGCAAAACACAGCACGUUUUUCAAAUUCCUCCAAAUAACUUUGAUAACAAUAAAGAGAUGCUCAGGGAGAGGAGGGAGACUGCUGUCCCCAGCCUGCUCUGUGGGACGUCCCCAGGGCCAUGCUCCAGCUCCUGCGCUGUUGGCUGAUUUCGGGUCGGUUGGGAAGGAGCCAGCAGUCAGAAUGGAGCUCUGGUCCUGGGGAAAGAUCUCGGGGGCUGGCACUGGAUUCUGUCUGUUUGGCUCCUCGACCAAGUGCCUCUGCCUAGUCACUGUCCAAAGCACCACAGAUUGGGCAGUGAUUCACCCUCUGGUGAUCAGGUGUGCCCUGGGCACCAGGCACUGAUUCAAAGGACACACACUCCCAGCAGAGCCAGGGGGCAAAGCCCAGACACUCCUUGCUGUGUGUCAGGGCACAGAGGAAAGCUGCAGAAAACAAACAGGCCGGCUCCCGCUCUUGCCUAAUCAAGAUCUUCCUUUGGAAGGAAGAAGCCACCGAUGUUCAGGGCUCAUUCUAAAGAUUAUCCUGUGGGAUCAACUGAAAGCUAAGAAACAAAAGGUAGGCACCUUCUUUGAUGACAUCUAAAAUUUGUGCUUUCCUUGAAAUCAAUGUCGUGUUUCUAAGUUCAAUAGAAUUUCAACUUCAAAUGUUUGUUUUAGAGUUUAGAACAUUCCUGUGUGUUAAAGUAAAAUAACUUAGGGACAGCUAAACCCUCGAAGGAAGACAGAAUUCUGAUCAUAUUCAAUGAGAACAAGGAGGAGGAUGGGAGAGAAACAUGGUUUCCAUGACAACCUCAAGGUAAUCAGAGGCAAAACCGCAUUUCAACAGUCAUAGCUUCUUCUGUUCUAAUGCCACACAAAGCAAGAAAGAGUGUUGCUAAGUAUUUGAAUGAGGAUGUUCCAUACUUUAGACUCCAAAGUUUUUGGACUCUUGAGCUUCUUGGAUAUGUCCAUUUAUGUCUUUCAUCAACUUUGGAAAAGCUUUUGCAUUAAUCUUUCAACUGUUCUGUGCCAUUCCCCCUCUCUCUUUUCUUUCCAGGAUUCUGAUGACAGGGACCGCAUGCAUUUUAGGCCCUCUGAUUUUGUCAUGACGUGGCAUUCACGUCCAUCUUUCUGCUCUCUGUUCUUCAGAUUGGCUGAUUUCUACAGGUUGAUUCAAGUUCACCAAAUCUUCCUCUCGUCAGCUCCACGAUCUUGUUAUGCUCACCUAGUAAAUUUUUCAUUUUAGAUAUUCUAUGUUUUAGAACUAGCACUUUGAUUGGAUUCGUAAACUGUCUGCUUCUCUGCUUCCGAGAUGUUCGUUAGUUAUGACUACGAUUUCCUUUAUGUCCUGGAGCAGAACGGAAGGGUCCUUAUCUGCUGAUUACAACAUCUGGGUCAGCCUGGAUCAGUUUUCCUGGAAACUCUAGAGUUUCUUCAAAUGCCUGAUGUUGAAUUUUACUCUGGAAAUGCAGUCGGUUUGUUGUAAGGACUCUGGACUGUGGUGCGUCCUCUUCCAGGAGUUGGGGUUUGAUCCCAGCACACUGCUACCCCACUGGGAGGACACCCCAGAUGCUGUGUCCCCAGAGAGAGUCCCUUCUCCCCAUUGUGACCUCCGACACGUCCACCUGCUUUGCUUUCUCCCCAGUGCCUUCAGGCAUUUGUUUCUGUAUUUUGACAAGAGUUUUCUUGUGUCCCUCAGGGGCUUUGGACGGAUUUGGUGAGGGUACAGUGAUGAUACUGCAAGUGAAAAAAUGACGCAGUUGGCUGCAGCUCACAGACAUCUUGGUAAACGCCCUGCAGCAAGACAUCGAAUUAAAGAGCCCUCUGGGGCCUCCGAUGACA